rnacentral:ncRNA from 1 species
UCGGCCCCGGUUCACGGAGGACAACCCGUCCCCCGACCCGGUGCC